rnacentral:rRNA from 1 species
CACCGCGGUUAUACGUGGGGCCCAAGAUGACAGACUUCGGCGUAAAGGGUGGUUAAGGCCCCAACCCACUAAAGUCGAACAUCCCCCUCACUGUUACAAGUUAGCGGGGACAGGAAGCCCUACUACGAAAGUGACUUUAACACCCCUCCUGAACCCACUAAAGCUAUGAAA